CGUGACGGCGCGAGCAGGUGCGAAAGCAGGUCAUAGUGAUCCGGUGGUUCUGAAUGGAAGGGCCAUCGCUCAACGGAUAAAAGGUACUCCGGGGAUAACAGGCUGAUACCGCCCAAGAGUUCAUAUCGACGGCGGUGUUUGGCACCUCGAUGUCGGCUCAUCACAUCCUGGGGCUGAAGUAGGUCCCAAGGGUAUGGCUGUUCGCCAUUUAAAGUGGUACGCGAGCUGGGUUUAGAACGUCGUGAGACAGUUCGGUCCCUAUCUGCCGUGGGCGCUGGAGAACUGAGGGGGGCUGCUCCUAGUACGAGAGGACCGGAGUGGACGCAUCACUGGUGUUCGGGUUGUCAUGCCAAUGGCACUGCCCGGUAGCUAAAUGCGGAAGAGAUAAGUGCUGAAAGCAUCUAAGCACGAAACUUGCCCCGAGAUGAGUUCUCCCUGAGACUUAGAGUCUCCUGAAG
rnacentral:rRNA from 1 species